ensembl:lncRNA
UUCUUCCUCCGCUAAGUGGCGCUAAAGACUCGGUCCGCCAUUGGCAUCACGUGACCUCAACAUACCGCCUUGGAAACCCCUCGUUUCUCUUUCGGCCACUUCACCGGCAAGACCCCGGUCACCCCUCAAGCAACGCACGCGUGCAACGCGCGGGGUUUCCAUGUCCGAAGGCGCGGCGCGCGCUGCCGUCGUGGAUGGCGAAGAAGGGCGCGAGAGCGAAGGAGGAGGAGCCGCUGAAGAGCGCGAGGAAGCGGAAAACUGCCCGGGCUGCUUUCUACUGCAUGAACGAGAAGGAGCUGGUGGAGGCGGCGCUCUCGCGUCUCACCGACGCCGCCCGCGAGGAUGUCGCUCUCCCCGCUGACCGCAAGGUUGAAGACAAGGCAGCAGCCACCACUGUGAACACGGGCGAGGACCCGGCCACUGCAGAGAAGACGGCAGAGCUUUUGACAUCAGCGGAGCAGUCUUCAGACGGCGGUGAUGCCCUGGAUACAACGUGUGUUUCAGAAACAGACGUGGAGAUCAGCCCGCGGCAUCUGGGCCCUGAGGGUCAGAGGGCAGGACCUGCACGGGAUCAUGGCGGUCUGGUGAAUAUCGGACUGAAGGCUGAGGGAAAAGAGAAGGAUGAUGCCUUGCGGCUUGUGAGGGAAAUAUUUUUCACCUGAUGAUGAUGAACUCCAGCAUACGCCAUCUAGAACCACAUUUUGGUGCGGCAUUGCACAUCUUAGUCUGGAGUUCAGUGUUAAAGGAGCUGCUGUGUAUUUCAUACAGCUGACAUGAGUGAAUGGAACUCCCAUUAACACAAAUAACGUGGUAUUUUGUGAACAGAAAUGUUUUGCUGAAAGCUUUGACCAGAAAGCCGGAACAUGAGUGACGUAUAGAUGUGUAGUAGUACUUUUUAAAUUAUAAUGUGAAACCUAAAGCAAGUGGGUUUUAGGUAAAGAGAUCUUUCCACCACAAGUUUUUUCAGCUUUGAUGAAUUAUGAAGUGGCCGUGGCUGCACUGUCCUUUAUUUCCAUUAUCUUAAGCAACUUUGUACAAACGUUGAAAACUGGAAAGCCUUAAAUACCUUUGCCCGUGUUCUGGACUCUGAGAUGAGCUUCUCCGGAUAAGUGUUCAUUGUCAAGACUUUGUCUUCUUCAAACAGUGUGCACGGUUACCGUUGAGUAAAUCCUCACCUCGCCUAUGGUCGUCCAAGAUUAAACUCUUAAUUGUUUAAAAGCUAAAUAUCGGGAAAACUCCAAAAGCCGGUUUGAGCUCUGCGAGGUGCUUUAGAGUCGUCAACAAAAUCAUUUGUUAAGGAAGUAUUUCAUCCCAAGUUGUCGACAUUAAAGAUUUGUUGUAUUGUGUUCUACCACCAUUGCAUUAAAGCAAACCAUAUUACUCCAACAUUUGUUUUUAUUUUUGCAAGAUAUUUAAGCACGGAAUUACAGCAGGACACAUAAGCAGCGCAGUAUGCUCCAGUCUAUUGCACCAAAGAAGGGUUUAUCAUGAAAUAUAUUAUUGCUUUUCAGCAGCAUAUGCCUCAAGGAAUACAAUAAAAGAACCAAAAAAACAAAGUACUUUUAUUCUAAUGGUGAAGAGCAUCAACUAAACUAUAGUCCAUAGUCAAGCACUUUGGCUUCCUGAAUAAAGUUUAACCAGGUGGACUUCCCAUUCGAUCUACUCCCAUUCAGACGUCAGCCUCUUCCCGGACUUGCAAGUCAGCACAGUCGUGGCAAGCAGCUCCACUGGCACAAGCACACAUAAGUAGAACCAGACGGUCAUGUUUUCCCAGUUCACGUACGUCUGAUAGAGGGCCACAAAACUCAGAACCCCAGUCAGGACGAGCAGGCUUGACGCAGCCUGGCAGGCCGCGCUGAACCAGACCGCUGCUCUGUCUCUGCUGUAAGCUGCCAGCAGCAUGGCCAGAAGGGCAAAGGCCACGAGCACCACGGGGAUGUACAAACACAGGAGAACCGCGGUUGCCAGGAGGUUCGUUUUCAUCUCCGAUUCAUCUCCGCCGAUGGGUUCCCUGGACGAGCAGGAUGGCUCGCCAUGUUGACGCGUAGGACAAAAUUGAAAGGGACUGAUGAGGACCUCUUUGGAGACGAUGAACACACCAGCAAAGAGAACCAGGGAGGUCAACAUCUUAGUGAGGAUGAGCAGGAGACACACGAAAAUCCAAAAAGAGAGCCCUGCAGGUCUCCUCAAAGACAGAGACAUGGCCGAAGCCGUCUUAAGCCAGAUUUAUUCAACACACGCCAUCUCUAAAGAGUGCAGCUUAUAUAUUCAGAACAACAACAACAAAAAGUUGUUAUGGUCUUGGUUUGGAAUGGGCCGGAGGUCAACUUCUCAGCAUGCAGGGUUUAAUGUUCGACCUGCGGUUGAGUCAGCUGAUCAGCUUCCUCCUUGCAUUUACAUGAAGUGGACUUUGGACAAUCUGUUGAAAAAAGUUCCUGUGAUCAAAAUGAAACAUGACAUGUUGAAACAUAUCAUAUCACAUGGCGGGGAAUCACUCUCAAACAUGACCUGAGGUGUUUACCAAGAAUAAACACAUAAUACAAAUAAAAGAUGACUGACUAAUAGGUCGUUUACUGUGUUGUUUAGGCUACUUACGUAUCUGUGGAGUCCUGCGGUGGGUGUCGGGUACGCGCAUAUAACGUGAACGCGCGCGGCGCGCGGCAUCGUGUGUGCAGGAGUCUACUCGGGACGUGCGGUCUUCUCCCGAGUCUGUGUGUGCGAGCUCAUCUGAGACCUCAUCCCCCGUUUACUGCGAGACGACGCGGCUCAUACGAUUCAUUAUGGGAAACCGGUUUGGAAAAGAGCGAGAAACUAACAAUGCUGAGACUGCUGAAGAAGCAAAGACUGCAGAGGAGUCAGAAGCUGGACAACCAGCGGAGGACUCUGGGAUAACUCAAACUCAAACUCAGGAUCUAGAUGUCCAGAUUCUGGGGCAGGUGGCGCAAGUGGCGCGUUCCAUCACUGAAAAAUUGGUGUUGAACAGUGGAGUGGAGGAGGAUGCUGAGCCCGUGGCGAAGGAAACACCAGCUCCAGUCCAAUCCGAGCCUCUGGUCUCACUUGGCAAAUCAUCAGCUCCAGAUUUAGAACCUGUUGCUGAAGCUCCGCUGGCUACAGAGCCAGUUCCUGAACCACUGCCCGCACCAGAGCCAGUUUCCACACCAGAGCCAGUUCCAGAACCAGAUCCAGUUGCCGAACCACUGCCUGAACCAGAGCCAGUCUCCAAAACGGUUCCAGUUCCUGAACCAGAGGCAGAAGUUGAGGUAGUCUCUGAACCCAUUUCAGAGUUGGUGCCGGCGGGAGCUGAGGCCGCAGAGCUGAAGACGGACCUCCUCAGCCAAGAGUCUCUCCCCGAGCCACAGAUUUCUUCUCCAGCACCUUUGAUCAACCCAUGCGCCCCCGAAGAAGAUGCCCGACCCGUUGACAUUCCUCCCGCCCCAGCUCCGGUCGAAGCGAAGGAGCCGGCAGACAACCCGGCGACCGAGGAAUUCCAAAACAGCGCUGAGGUCUCGGCCAUUCCCACGUUUGAGCCUGAAAACGGCGAGGAGGCGUCCGAGUCAGGGGAAAAGGCGAUGGAGGGGAAGGGUGGAGUGCAUUUGGAGCAGCAUGUGUGUGACGUCAGCGACGAGGGUCUCAGUGGACUGCUGAAGAACUUGGAGCUGAAAGGAAACGACCUUGUCGCUGACCUCAUUCCGGCCGACGUCCAGAUUCCCGACGACGUGAGCACUUCCACCGAGCUGAUGUGAAGGUGCGGCAGUGAAAGGAUGUUAUAUCUGUGAAGCCCUCGUAACCCCUAACGUGAAUUCCAAAAGAAGCUGGGAUGCAAUGUUUCUUUCUCUCUCACCUAAGUGGCCUAAUAAAGGCAAAAAUGUCUCUAUCUAAAUGAACGUGUGCCAAAAAAAGGUGUAUUGUCUGGGCUUUAUUAUGAGUGUACUUGUGUGUAUUGCUGGACAACAGAGAUCUUCCUCUAUGCAAAUGCACCAGGCAAGAAUUUUAACCAAAUUUCUUUAAGAGAAAAGAAGCCAUUGCUAUACGAUAACGCGGCAUAGAGAAAGCUGGAAGGGAAUCAUUUUGAUGUUCCUGAGUACAAAGGGAAAAGCAGAAGUGUCCUGAGGUAUGUCAGUCAGCAUCGGCAGGUAAAUCCAAAUCCAUAGGCAAGGGAUAGUAGCAAUGAAAAAGACAUUAUACUGUAUGCUAUUGAAAUACGAGUGUCUAGUGAACUAUUACGCCUUCACAUAAUCAUCUUUGAGCUUUUUGAAAUUCUGUGUCUUUCUUGUAUUCUAAUUUAACAAUGGGAAUUUUCUUUUUUUUUAACCUAAGUAGUGGCUUGCUUGUAAAAAUAAAAAUAUUAUUAUACAUAUGUUAUGUCCAUCGUCACUUGAUUUGACUUUUUAACUAAGGAACCUGUGUUAAAGAUUACGGGGAACCAGUAAAAUUAAAGGCGUGUUGGUAUUUAACAUUCCCAAUAAAGAGCG